rfam:Dipodomys ordii contig_10127, whole genome shotgun sequence.
GGGAAGGUGGCUCAGUGGUAGAGCACUUGCCUUGCAUGCAUGAGGCCCCUGGGUUCCAUUCCU